CUACGGGGGGCUGCAGUCGAGAAUCUUCGGCAAUGGACGAAAGUCUGACCGAGCGACGCCGCGUGCGGGAUGAAGGCCUUCGGGUUGUAAACCGCUGUCAGAGGGAAGGAAAUUUUGACCGAUCCUCAAAGGAAGUACGGGCUAAGUUCGUGCCAGCAGCCGCGGUAAGACGAACCGUACAAACGUUAUUCGGAAUCACUGGGCUUAAAGGGUGCGUAGGUGGUCUAUUAAGUUGGGUGUGAAAUCCCUCGGCUCAACCGAGGAACUGCGCUCAAUACUGGUAGACUUGAGGGAGAUAGAGGUGAGCGGAACUGAUGGUGGAGCGGUGAAAUGCGUUGAUAUCAUCGGGAACACCUGUGGCGAAAGCGGCUCACUGGAUCUCUUCUGACACUGAGGCACGAAAGCUAGGGGAGCGAACGGGAUUAGAUACCCGAGUAGUC
rnacentral:rRNA from 1 species